rnacentral:rRNA from 1 species
GCCGGCUAACUUCGUGCCAGCAGCCGCGGUAUUACGAAGGGCCCGAGCGUUAAUCGGAAUCACUGGGCUUAAAGGGUUCGUAGGCGGUUUGUAAGUACUUUGUGAAAUCCCACAGCUCAACUGUGGAACUGCUGAGUAUACUGCAAAUCUUGAGGUCGGUAGGGGCGACCGGAACAAUAGGUGGAGCGGUGAUAUGCGUAGAUAUCUAUUGGAACACCGAAGGCGAAGGCAGGUUGCUGGGCCGAAUCUGACGCUGAGGAACGAAAGCGUGGGGAGCGAACGGGAUUAGAUACCCCGGUAGUCCACGCCGUAAACGAUGUACACUAGUUCGAGAGGGCUCUGACGCCAGCUUGGACGAAGCUAAAGUGUUUAGUGUACCGCCUGGGGAGUACGGUCGCAAGACUAAAACUCAAAGGGAUUGACGGGGGCUCACACAAGCGGUGGAGCAUGUGGCUUAAUUCGAGGCAACGCGAAGAACCUUAUCCUGGGUUUGACAUGUGCGGAUUAGCUUCCCGAAAAGGAAGUGACACUCUUUGAGUGGAACGCACACAGGUGCUGCAUGGCUGUCGUCAGCUCGUGCUGUGAAGUGUCGGGUUAAGUCCCUUAACGAGCGAAACCCCUAUCGUUAGUUGCUAACAGGUAAUGCUGAGGACUCUAGCGAGACUGCCGGUGUCAAACCGGAGGAAGGUGGGGAUGACGUCAAGUCCUCAUGGCCUUUAUGCCCAGGGCUGCACACGUGCUACAAUGCGGCGUACAGAGCGAAGCAAUACUGCAAAGUGGAGCAAAUCGCAAAAAACGCCGCUCAGUUCGGAUUGUGGUCUGCAACUCGACCACAUGAAGUUGGAAUCGCUAGUAAUCGCGUAUCAGCUACGACGCGGUGAAUAUGUUCCUGAGCCUUGUACACACCGCCCGUCAAGUCAUGGGAGCUGGGGGGACCCAAAGUCGCCACGAUUCAGUGGUGCCUACGGUCAACUCGGUAACUGGGACUAAGUCGUAACAAGGUAAC